rnacentral:rRNA from 1 species
CCAGCACCUGCGGUAAUUCCAGCUCCAAUAGCGUAUAUUAAAGUUGUUGCAGUUAAAAAGCUCGUAGUUGGAUUUGUGGCGUGUGCCGUGGCGUCCAUUGAUUUGGUUCUGUUGCGGCGGCGCCAUCCUUGGGUGGAAUCUGUGUGGCAUUAGGUUGUCGUGCAGGGGAUGCCCAUCGUUUACUGUGAAAAAAUUAGAGUGUUCAAAGCAGGCUUAUGCCGUUGAAUAUAUUAGCAUGGAAUAAUAAGAUAGGUCUAGGGUCCUAUUUUGUUGGUUUGCGGUCCUUAGAAAUGAUUAACAGGGACAGUUGGGGGUAUUCGUAUUCCAUUGUCAGAGGUGAAAUUCUUGGAUUUCUGGAAGACGAACUACUGCGAAAGCAUUUACCAAGGAUGUUUUCAUUAAUCAAGAACGAAAGU